UUCCAUAUUGUUUCUGCGGCCAAUCAUAAGCUUUGCUUUCAAUUUAAUUACAGAAAAAUCACACAAAAGAGCAGAAAGGCGGGACCUGUGGAUUCUCUAGUAACGCUUUAGUAUGAAUAAGUCAGUCAGUUUAUGGUAUCUCUCCCGAAAGGCCCCAAAUCAAAGAUGUGGUGACGUCUGCGAGGCCCCAAACUUUCCAGUGCAGAUAAACAGCAGACAUGUGACCAGGGGAGCGAUGUGUGUGUGUGCAGGCGUCAGGAAGUUAGGGUUUCUGCUCGAGCCGUUUCAGAAACGACGACAGUUUGUCACCAGGUCUCUCAGAGGAUGUGACUGAAGAGCCACGGAGAACCUAGUGAGAGAUGGAGAACCUGAAAAUCUGGAAGUCUGUCUUACUUCUGCACCUUUACAUCUUUGGCACUCUGGCAAAAGGAAAUAGCUCUAAAGUCACGCAGGAUACUAACCUCACUGCAUACUCACAAAAUCCAGUUUCCACAACGCAAGAUGCAUUUACAGAAUACAGAAGUGAGUACUUUGACUUGAAUAGCAGCGUUACUCUGAACUGCUCCAAUAAGACAUGGGCUUCGAUUAUCUUCAUUACCUGGAUGAUAGACAUUGACGGAAAGCAGUGUCAAAUGGCUCAUAGUGAUAACGAUUCUAAACAUGAUACAUGUAACGAUGGAAAGAUCCUGCGCAACAACACAAAUGGAGAAACAUACCUGUACAUUCCUCACUUUACAAAACGAGAUGAAGGACGGUAUCAGUGUGAGACAGUGUACAACGGUGGAUCCAGUAAAGUAGUAAUAAAUGUAUCUGCCAAAGUCCCUCAACAGAUUUCCACCCGACUGGACCUUGACCACAGAGAAGCUGUGUGUUCAGCCGUAGGGGUUAAAUCAAACGUCUCCAUCUCAUGGAGAACUGCGUGGGACACCACUGUAACCAGCAGCUCUGUACCCAACCCAGAUGGCUCCUACACCAUGGAGAGCCGACUCAAACUGCCCGACCAUGUGCAUGGUACCGAGCUGCACUGCAUAGUGACACACCCCAGCUGGACAGAGAAUUACACAGAGACACUUCAACUCCCCAACAGGACUGUUAAACCCUGGAAAUGGAUCAUUUCUCUGGUUUCAUUCUGCUUUCUAAAGGGUACCGUUGUUGGACUUUGCAUCUUAAGGAAUCAUCUUAGCAAGAUAAGCAGAUGCAAAAAUGCAGAGGAAAACACUGGGGUUUGCAAUCGGUUUGCUCUUGUGGAGUGUGCAUGUACUAACUGAAGGAUUGAUGAACGAUUGUCUGGAAGUUGGAAGCAGUGGCUUAUUCCCAUGCAUAAACAGCUUAUCCCAUGAGUCAGUGUUUGUGACUUGUAUGGUGCAAAAGACUGACGGCAAUAAGUGCAUAGUCGCUUUGGACCUUAACACUUUCGAAUAUAUCAGCACAUGUGACCCCAGGAUAUCAUUUAACAAAACGGGGUUCACAGUGUUCCUCAGCAUCAGUGACAUACAGCAGGCCGAUGAAGGAAACUACUCCUGUCAAUAUAGUUACAGUGGUGGAACGAAUAUAACUGACUUUAACAUCUGUGUAUCAGAAAGCUGGCAGAAAAAAACGAAGGAAGCAGAUGGUCGUGAUCGUCUCCAUCUUGUGAUGUUUAUGAGCUCUGUAACAUCUAUAGCCGCAGUGUGGGUUAUUUUCCUAAUCCUAAGGAGAAGACAGGAGAUCCGAAGCAAGACAGAAAAGGAAUUGAAGAAUACUGAACUUGAAUAAACAUUUGAAGCAAUACAAAGACAAUCUUUUGACACUGAUUGUUAGUCUUCUUGUGGCAUGAGCAGCGGUGUCUGCUCUCUCUGUCUUCCCUUCCACGACGCACUUUGUGGCUAACAUUGCAAAGUGGUAGCACGUAUUCAGCCCAUUACGCAACAUAGGCAACACAGCCCACCAUGGUGCCAUCUUCUAAGGCAGUGCGGACUUCAUAAGCCAGUUUCAUUUUGUUUUGGAAGGCAUGUGUGAAACUUGUCCAGGGGCGGGAGGUGUGGCAUCGAAUACUAUGUUGGGGUGUUUGUCUGCAUUAGUUGUUUGUAUUGUGUCACCACUGCUGAAAGAGGGUUAGCUGCAUUCCAUUUUCUUCUCUAGUUUCUGUCAGAGUUCGAGGUGGACGAAUAAGGCGAAAGGGCAGGCGGGCAGGAAGGAUCAGGCAGGAAGGCGGAAUACGGAACAAAACGGGGAUUUAAUGGAGGGUUACGGGAAUCAGGAAACAUCGAAGACACUAACAUCAAUGACAGACACUGAACUCUGGUAAGACAUGGACUCAAAUAGACAGGACUGGUUGAAAAUAACUAGACACAGCUGGGCAGGGACGGAUUAUGGGUUGUGUGGGCCCCUGGGCAAAACGUUCGCGAGGGCCCAUGGAGCAAUAAAAUCAUCAGUUCAUUGCAAAUUAUUUUGAAUAAAAAUAGGAUAAAAAUUUUGAAGUGUAUUUCAUAUUGUUAUGUUUUUGCCUCUUUAUUCAAAUGGCAAUGCAAUCGUGCCCCCAGUAAUUACAUUACAUGUCACCAAACUCUUUUUACACCAAAAUUUAACUGAAAAUCCAAUCUAUCUGUCCUCUCAUCAAGGCGGGUCUUCGUUAUCCACCUUGUUAUCCAUUGUUGUAAGCUACGAUGGAAUGCAUUCACUUUACUGUACUUAUUGAAUUGCCAAUUGCACAAUGAAAUUGCACAUUGAAUUACCAAUUGCAAAAUGAAUUGUCAUUUGAAAUCUGGUGCCAAAUAUCAGCAUAGUUAUUAGGAAGUUACUUUUACUCUUGUGGCUAUUAAGUGUUUAUGGGAGAGGUUAGUGAUCUGUUUUCUUUAUUGCUUUGGCCGAGCUUACCAAGCUUACCCAAAGAGACAUGGCAUGUUUGUUUGUCCUCAUGUGUGUCUGGACAUGCCUGUAAACAGGGCUGCUCAUUGCUGCUCCUGCAGAUCUACCACCCUGCAGAACUUAGGUGCAGCCCUAGUUUAACACGUCUGAUCCAGAUAAACAAGUCUUUCAGUGGCAUCUCAGUAUUAGAGCCAGCUACUGUAUGUAACAUAAAACACAUCCUGCUUUUCCUAUGUGUUAAUGCGCAUAUCGAAUGCGCACAUCCUAUUAUUUUGUCUACCUGUAGGGUGCCAAUGAACCACUUAUGCAACUGGUGCAAAGUGCCAGCGUAGAACCCAAUUAUAUCCUCAUAACACCGUCGAUUUUGUAGGCCUGAUGAUGCUGAAUUGCAUUCAUACAACUAACCAAAACAAAUAACUGCUGAAUUUAUGCAUACACUGAAUUGGUAUGGUAAAAAAAUAAUAAUUCAAAAGCAUAAAAACUAUAAAAACAGCACUGUCACCAGAUCUAGAAGGGCAUGCAGGCAGCGUAUUGCUGACAGUGUAAAUGUAUAUAGGUGGAGUGUAUAUCUGAUAGGAUAAAUGUAUCUAGGUGGAACAUAUUACUGGUAGCGUAAAUGUAUUGUAUAUAGGUGGAGCGUAUCUCCGAUAGGGUAAAUGUAUAUCGGUGGAGCAUAUUACUGGCAGCGUAAAUGUAUUGUAUAUAGGUGGAGCGUAUCUCUGAUAGGGUAAAUGUAUAUAGGUGGAACAUAUUACUGGUAGCGUAAAUGUACUGUAUAUAGGUGGAGCGUAUCUCCGAUAGGGUAAAUGUAUAUCGGUGGAGCAUAUUACUGGUAGCGUAAAUGUAUUGUAUAUAGGUGGAGCGUAUCUCUGAUAGGGUAAAUGUAUAUAGGUGGAACAUAUGUCUGACAGGGUAAAUGUAUAAAGGUGGAGCAUAUAUCUGAUAGGAUAAAUGUAUCUAGGUGGAGCAUAUUACUGGCAGCGUAAAUGUACUGUAUAUAGGUGGAGCGUAUCUCUGAUAGGGUAAAUGUAUAUAGGUGGAACAUAUUACUGGUAGCGUAAAUGUACUGUAUAUAGGUGGAGCGUAUCUCCGAUAGGGUAAAUGUAUAUCGGUGGAGCAUAUUACUGGCAGCGUAAAUGUACUGUAUAUAGGUGGAGCAUAUAUCUGAUAGGAUAAAUGUAUCUAGGUGGAGCAUAUUACUGGCAGCGUAAAUGUACUGUAUAUAGGUGGAGCGUAUCUCUGACAUGGUACUGUAAAUGUAUUUAUCUGGAGUCUGAUUGUCAUUAAUAAAAUUGUCUUCAUAUACAAACUUGUUUU